CUUCCUGAAGCCAGAACACAACAGCAUUGUGAUUAGCUGGACCCCUGCCUUGGAAAACAUUCGAACAUGCAGAAGGAGGAAUAUCUGACGGAUAAUCCACCAAACAAUUGGCAGCUUUAAAGAAAAGGAGCCGAGGUCUGCUGGCCAACAACCUGAUCUUUCCUCGCAGAGCGGGCUGAAAAAUGAGAUCUCCAGGUGGCCCCAGCGCAGCGCUUCUUAGAGAACAGAAGGUUAUCUGUGCUAAAAAGAGGAAGUCAGGGCUGGACAAGAUACUUAGCAGAAGUUCUUAAAAAAAGGAAGCUGGACAUCCACUCUCGAAUAUAAUUAAUUGACAAGCAAGGUAAGCAAAAUGACAUGACACACCAUUACGGCUGGCUUUUAAAAACUUAGCUUCAGUGUGAUUCUGCAUGGAAGGUUACUGGGAAUGAACUAAAGCCUCUGACAAAAAGCUUCCACAAGGAAAGCAAAAUUAUUAGCCCCGUCAAUGAACUCAAAAUACGGAACCGUGAUAGAGGGGGACUUUUAAAAUAGCAAGACAAAGGAAACCAUCUGGAGAAUUAGAUUAAUUCUGAAACUUUAGUAGGAAGUAGAAAUGAAGUUCACUUUACCAUUUAG